rnacentral:hammerhead_ribozyme from 1 species
AUUCAUCUGACGAGUCCCAAAUAGGACGAAACGUGCGUCCUGGAU